GGAACGGUUCUUUAGGGCUCUUUAGGUAUCAACUAUGGGUUAGUGAACAAUAGAACACUUAACGUAAUCAAUUCAUCACUCAUCAGCGACACCCCAAUCUUCACCCUCUUUGUCGUCUCCUCUGCCACAAACCCCCCACCGUCUCUGCCAUCUCCUCCGCCACAAACCCCCACCCUCCGUCGUCUGAACGACUGAACAUCAUCACUUCAUCAGUGACGACAUCUCCGAUUAAUCAUCCUUUUCCAGUGAAGUUAGUGGCACACUGUCGUGGUACUUCACGGACAUGGUGCGUAUGGUGAAUUACUUGACAAACGUUUGCAGCUCAUUUGCAUACAGGGGAGCUAGUGGCUGUAAAGGUGCAAAGGCCCGAGGAACCUGAUUAAGUGUGGUACAAAUGCUUGCAUGAGUGGGCUAUCACUGUUCAUCUAUUUGGUGUUCAUAUGUUGUGCAUUAGGUUGAUCGCUAUCUUAACCAUGACCAAAAGUUCAUUCUUUUUUGUUUUCUAUUUGAGGUUCAGUGGCUCAGGUGACGAACAACUGCAUGACUACCUUUGUUGAUUGGCACUUGGCAAUAUUGAAUGAUUUCAAUUUGCAUGUGCUGCCUAAUCUGUAGGUUAGAUGUUGCAAGAUUCAAUCAUGUUUUUUGGCUAGUGAGGGACUCUUGGCCUCUUUGCAAGUUCAUAUCAACUUUGAAAGAUGUAUGUUUAGUAAUAGAUUUAGAGGAUAUCAGCUUGUGUUACCAUUUUAACAAAUUUUCAUAUAAUAUUUUCUGUUGUUGAGUGAUUGGCAUU